GACGGAGACCGCUUAAAGAGAAAGAAACGAUCUGAGGACUAGCUUUUUCUUAUCAUCCGUGGCUUUAUUUGGAAAAUAUGGCACAACAUCAGACUGAAGAACUGGAUCCUGACUUAACUGCUGGUGCAAUGCAGCCCAGGAACAAAAGUAGGACUUCACUGCUUUCACGUUUAUCCUCUGGUUUGGCCUCCGGUAUUCCCGCCAUUUGCAUCAGACUGGCGUCAGGUGCAGCAGGAGGGUUGCUGGUUGGAGCGAUGGCAAUUGUUUUUUCUCCAGUCCCUUGAAGUUCUGGCAGAGAACAGGGUGCUGAUGGAUUACUUUGAAGGUUUUCUGUCACUAAAAGACAAAGACCAUGUUAUGGAGAUUUUAAUUUCCACAGUUUUAGAGGAGUUUUUCGUCAUGUCCUUGAUCUUGUCCUCAGUUGUGAGCAUUUUUGCUGGAUUGGC